rnacentral:tRNA from 1 species
GGGAUCGUAACUCAAUUGGUAGAGUCCCAUCCUUAUGAGGUGGUGGUCGCGGGUUCAAUCCCCGCCGGUCCUC